UGGAACUUAAUGUUUGCUACUAAAUAUCUAUCUCCCACCUACAUAUCUCCUUUUCAAAUUCUUUGUUUCCAACAUAUUCCCCCAAAAGAUUGCCUACCACCUUUUCCAUAGUUAAUGAUAGUCUGCUUUUUCUCCAGGAGGGAAUCCUUUAAAUUUCAUAUUAACUUGUUUCAAUAAUGGGUGAGCCUCCAUAGUUUACCUGCCCUCUGUAUGUCCUCUGAUUUGCAAACCUCUUUAGAAUCAGACCUCUGUCUAAUGGACCAGGUGUGUGCUUUUAGUUUGUAUGAAUCCAGACACAUAUCAUGUGUUAGUGGUUUUUGGAUUCACCCCAGAACUCAAAGGUGCAGGUUUGAGAUUGAGUGCACAGAGAUUCUCCAAACAUGUUUUACUGCCCUGAUGUGUAUUAUUGUUGUUGUUGUUGUUGUUUUCAAAUUAAUGUGUUUAGACUUUUUUUUAACCCCUUAGCUGUGUUAAAUAGCAUGUUUACUUUGUAGUAAAGAAAUAUCUUUUAGUUUAGAAAAUCAAAUAAAAGUUCUUUUAUUAUUCUCCAAUAAAUUCUAAAUUUUAAAUUACUGCUAAAUUAAAUGGUUCCUAUCAGAAGAUAACAAUAUGGGGUAUUCGAUUAAAACAAACUCCAUGUAAUCUUAUUGCGCCAGUAGGACACGGAAAUAAGAAAAAUGUGUUUGAAUCACAGGAGAGAAAGGAUGUUGGCUGGAUCUGUAAAAUACUUUAUGUUGUAGUAUCAGCUGAUUAAUAGCAGUGAUUCUCAGAAGGGUUCCAAUAUUAUGCCUUUUAAAAGCUAGAGAUUAGUGCAACCAUGGUGAACAGCCCAGCAACACUCUGGCAGAGAAAAAGGGUCAAGGCUGGCAAAAUGUGGCAGGUGUCAAAAUAAAAGGUUAGGCUCUGUGCCUGGGGACCCAUCUGUCAGAUAAAAGUAUGAUAAGGCAAUUAAUGUAUUUAUUUAUAUUGCUUAUGACAAACCAUGUACUCCAUAAAAAAUGGUCAAUUUAAACAUUCUCCACUGUUAUCUAGAAGUUAGAAUUAAUAUAAAAAUAAAAUGUUGAAGAGAAAAAGCAAAGUCUAAUAAUAAAAUGUCUUUAUGUAAAUAAAUAAAAGUUGAGGAAUGAUAGUAGUCUACAUUGAAGGAUAAAAACUAUUAGAUAUAAUAUCUUGACAAUAUAGCUGUUAUAUAAGGACCUAUAAAAUCCAUGUUUAUGUUGCAAGAUAAUGUUGUUAGCAUUCUUUUAAGUUCAGCAUGCUUAUUAUUUCAUUAGGCUAAAUUUCAUAAUCUAAUAUUAAAAUGAAGCCCAUAAAAAAUUACAAGGAAAUAAAAAUUUAGAAAUCCAAGAUAUGUCUUGCAUUUUCUUUAAGUGUUUUGUUCACAACCUUCUCAUUAUUAGAGCUUUCGUUUUCACUUUGUGGCUAAUCCUGACUCCUCUUUAAUUCAUUUAUUAUUUAUUGAGCUUUUUCACUACUUCUGCUUUACAAUCUGUUUAAACUAGAUUAUGUUUAGAUUCAAUAUUCAUCAGUGAUACAUUUUUUCGUAGAAAAUAAAUUAUCAUAAAUGUUUUAAAUGUCAUGUUAUUUUACUACUCAAUAAAAAUCCAACCCAUAAUUAUAAGAAAAAUGAGAUUUACUACAGUCCAAAGUUUUAUGCAAAAACUGACCCCCUGUGUUUUCCCCUGAAUAAAAUAAAGGCUCUCAAUUAUGUUGUUUUAAUAAGUGAAACUCACAAUUUAUGGUGAUACCAAAAUUUAAAGAGAAACAACAUGUAAGUCUACAGGGUAAUAUAUUUUAUAGAGGGAAAAUUCAAGUUAUUUAAUUGUAGGAGGAAAAAAUGCCAACAUGACUAUAUUAUUGCCAAGUUGCACAUUCUGUCUGCUUAAGCAAUGAAAUUUAACAAGUAAAGCCACUGGAACAGUAAAGAGAAUCAUUUGGCUUUGGAAAGAACAGAGGUAUUAUGUUCAAGAGAUUUAUUUUCUUUACGUUGAUGCAGCAUUUAUGCCUUCAUUGGUACUUUCCAUUUAUUAGAAGGAUAUUGGUUAAACUUUAAGUCAACAAUUCUUCUCUCCAGAAUUCCCUUCUAUCCCCUGACAUUAUUGCAGUAUUAAACUAUCUUCUUCUACUGGUCAUAUGAAACUUCGCUCUCUAUAGUAUAACAUCAAUGUUAGAAUAGUUGAGGAAGCAAAAGAUAUAAAACAUAAACUUUGUCAUAUUUUCUAUUUAAUGUUCUGAUACAUGAUUUAAAAGUUAUGUUUGAAGUUUAAUUGUAACUAACCACUACUUAAAAUCAAAUUCACUCAUGGCUUCAUUUCCUGAUUCAGAAUUUAAUCUUGUUCCCAUUGCCGGUUUUAUUUCAUUUAAACUUCUGUCUUCUAAAUUAGCUCUGUUUCUUAUCUAUUUUCAUUUUCCUGGAUGUACUUGAAAAUGCAUCAGGUAAAAAAAAAUAAAAGUCCUAUUCACCAUUCUGUACAACUUUUCAAAACUCUGGGGUAGGCUACCUGAUAAAAUAAUAAUUUCAACAGAAACCAUGAUGUCACUGAAUUCCGCCACGGAGUCACAAGAACAACACAUCAAACAGAAGGUAAGACUUUUGUUUUACUCCCAGACAAGGCGAAUUUUCCAUUUUAAGUUAGGUCUUUUUGCAGCAUAUAGUCUAACUUUACAUAGGAAGAAAAUAUAUAAGGGGGCUUAUUUUAUAAAAAGAAAAAUCACCUUAAUCUUUAUUUUUCGACAGAAUUAUAUGGAAAAAUAUUUGCUGGGUAUCCACUCACUUCAAUCCAGACAUUUGAAGAAAUUAUGAAAAUUCUGAUGAGUUUUAAACAUUCUCUUUUGUUCUGGCAUAGUAUUAAACACAUAUUGGUCUAUCAUCUCAGGUAUGCCUUCAGAAAUUUCCUCUUACCAAUCAGAUAUGAAUUCACACCAAUUUGCCAAAUUGUUUUCUUUAUUUUUCCUAAAGCUUAGCACAUAUAAGAUUAUUUGGGAAAGAAAUUAAUUUUCUCAUCUGUUUUUCUUUCAGUCCUUGGUAAUAGAAAGUGAUACUCCUGAAUACCUUAAUUAUUUUAACAAAGGAUGAAAAUUCUUAGUAUAAAAUCCCUUAUAUGAAGAAAAUACCCAAGUAAAACUUUAUUUCAUGUUGCAAAAAAAAAAAAAUGCUGUCACUUUCAAAAGUUUUAUUGUUUACAAAUCUUUGAGACAUGUUCCCAUCCAACACCAAAUGAUGUUUUUAAUCAGCAUAAAAUGAUGUUGGAUCUCGUCCAUUCUCAUUGCAUCAUCUAUACCCCCAUCUUAGACCCUCUGUUUUUGGUCCUCCUAGAAUUCCUGGUUUGUUUGUUUUUUAAUUGAUCAAUCACUCAUACAUCACAAGGUAAGUACUAUUAUUAUCCUCAUUUACAGAUGAGAAUACUCGGGUAUAAAAGAAAAAAAGAUUAAAUAGUUCUUAAAAUGUGAACCCAGCUUAUUGAGUGAUUAGUCUUCUAUCCAUCUACUUAAUUGCUCAAACAAGGCAUGCCAGAAUGUUGAAGAAUGAAAGAGCCUAAGUGUGAAAAUUACACCGUAAGAUAUUUUUGCACUGAUUGAAA
rnacentral:lncRNA from 1 species